rnacentral:other from 1 species
UAAUACAUCUUAGUAACCUGUUACAGGAUGUAUCACUUUAUCGCUAAAUGUGGUGAAGAAGGAUAAUGGCUUCAGGAUGAAACCAAGGACACCUCUAGGAAGGAGAUUGAGAGCCGUUACGGAGUGUCGGUGGGGCAGGAGCCUAAAGGGAAUAUCUUCACGGAAGGUGCAGUAAGAACGGUCAGGACGAAAGUUGGACGCUUGCACGGAGAGCUGGUUAGGAUAACCGCAAAGGAAAAGUUUUCACGGAUGAGCAGGGACGCAGUGGUGUAGCGGGAAAGCUAUAAAACGAACCGGGGGCACUGAAUAUCAGUGCCCCCAACUUUUUUG